CGAGUCCGAAUAGGGCGUCUAGUCGCUGGGUGUAGACCCGAAACCAAGUGAUCUAUCCAUGGCCAGGAUGAAGGUGCGGUAACACGCACUGGAGGUCCGAACCGACUAAUGUUGCAAAAUUAGCGGAUGAGCUGUGGAUAGGGGUGAAAGGCUAAACAAACUUGGAAAUAGCUGGUUCUCUCCGAAAACUAUUUAGGUAGUGCCUCAAGUAUUACCAUCGGGGGUAGAGCACUGUUUAGGCUAGGGGGUCAUGGCGACUUACCAAACCUAUGCAAACUCCGAAUACCGAUGAGUACAGCUUGGGAGACAGUGCACCGGGUGCUAACGUCCGGACACAAGAGGGAAACAACCCAGACCGCCAGCUAAGGUCCCUAAAAUUGGCUAAGUGGGAAACGAAGUGGGAAGGCUAAAACAGUCAGGAUGUUGGCUUAGAAGCAGCCAUCAUUUAAAGAAAGCGUAAUAGCUCACUGAUCGAGUCGUCCUGCGCGGAAGAUGUAACGGGGCUCAAGCCAGUUACCGAAGCUGCGGAUUCACAGUUUACUGUGAGUGGUAGGAGAGCGUUCUGUAAGCCUGAGAAGGUGUCUUGAGAAGGAUGCUGGAGGUAUCAGAAGUGCGAAUGCUGACAUGAGUAGCGUUAAAGGGGGUGAAAAGCCCCCUCGCCGAAAGCGCAAGGUUUCCUACGCAACGUUCAUCGGCGUAGGGUGAGUCGGCCCCUAAGGCGAGGCAGAGAUGCGUAGCUGAUGGGAAACAGGUUAAUAUUCCUGUACCGAUCUAUAGUGCGAUGUGGGGACGGAGAAGGUUAGCUCAGCCAACUGUUGGAAUAGUUGGUUCAAGCCUGUAGUCGUGCCUGGUAGGCAAAUCCGCCGGGCUUAGAUGAGGGGUGAUAACGGGUCUGCUUGCAGACGAAGUGAGUGAUACCCUGCUUCCAGGAAAAGCCACUAAGCUUCAGCUAUAGACGACCGUACCGCAAACCGACACUGGUGCGCGAGAUGAGUAUUCUAAGGCGCUUGAGAGAACUCUGGAGAAGGAACUCGGCAAAUUGACACCGUAACUUCGGAAGAAGGUGUGCCUUAAGUAGGUGAUCCUGUACAAGGGGAGCCGAACAAGGUCGCAGAGAAUCGGUGGCUGCGACUGUUUAAUAAAAACACAGCACUCUGCAAAGACGAAAGUCGACGUAUAGGGUGUGACGCCUGCCCGGUGCUGGAAGAUUAAUUGAUGGGGUGCAAGCUCUUGAUCGAAGUCCCAGUAAACGGCGGCCGUAACUAUAACGGUCCUAAGGUAGCGAAAUUCCUUGUCGGGUAAGUUCCGACCUGCACGAAUGGCGUAACGAUGGCCACACUGUCUCCUCCAGAGACUCAGCGAAGUUGAAAUGUUUGUGAUGAUGCAAUCUCCCCGCGGAAAGACGGAAAGACCCCAUGAACCUUUACUGUAGCUUUACAUUGGACUUUGAACAGAUCUGUGUAGGAUAGGUGGGAGGCUUUGAAGCAUGAACGCUAGUUUGUGUGGAGCCGACGUUGAAAUACCACCCUGGUGUGUUUGAGGUUCUAACCUUGGCCCGUUAUCCGGGUUGGGGACAGUGUAUGGUGGGCAGUUUGACUGGGGCGGUCUCCUCCCAAAGUGUAACGGAGGAGUUCGAAGGUACGCUAGCCACGGUCGGAAAUCGUGGUGAUAGUGCAUUGGCAUAAGCGUGCUUGACUGCGAGACUGACAAGUCGAGCAGGUACGAAAGUAGGACAAAGUGAUCCGGUGGUUCUGUAUGGAAGGGCCAUCGCUCAACGGAUAAAAGGUACUC
rnacentral:rRNA from 1 species